rnacentral:rRNA from 1 species
CGCAUACGUCCUACGGGAGAAAGCAGGGGACCUUCGGGCCUUGCGCUAUCAGAUGAGCCUAGGUCGGAUUAGCUAGUUGGUGAGGUAAUGGCUCACCAAGGCGACGAUCCGUAACUGGUCUGAGAGGAUGAUCAGUCACACUGGAACUGAGACACGGUCCAGACUCCUACGGGAGGCAGCAGUGGGGAAUAUUGGACAAUGGGCGAAAGCCUGAUCCAGACAGGCCGCGUGUGUGAAGAAGGUCUUCGGAUGUAA